UUAUUGGAGAGUUUGAUCCUGGCUCAGGAUGAACGCUGGCGGCGUGCCUAAUACAUGCAAGUCGAGCGAAUGGAUUGAGAGCUUGCUCUC
rnacentral:rRNA from 2 species